UCCGAGACGCAGCACGCUCAUCCGGCGCUUGUCACCUUCGAUCAACAAUAGUAACUAGAUUUCGGGUCGGUGCAUAAAAUCCGUCUCGUUAAAUAACAGCGCACUUGAAAUGUGAGCUCUUAUUUUGUUUAGUUCACUUCAAACACAGCCAAUGUCAACCCGUCUCACAAUACCGCAGUGUGUAUUCAAAAGUUGCAAAAAUAAGGCCCGAAAAAGCAAUUUAACGGCCGGAGUAUCUUACUUUCGCUUUCCUAGCAAUCACGUGUGCAGAAUGGAUCUCGAUCGUCGCCAGAGAAACAAGAGAUGACUUUUAUAAGCCAGCUAAGAACUCCGCUUAUUGACACUGGACAUCUUUGCCUUCCGUGCUCACGGCUACUGAAAUGUGGCCGAAACAUUGUAAUAAAAAUACCACGCUUGAAACCGUUUAAA